CCAGACUCCUACGGGAGGCAGCAGUGGGGAAUAUUGGGCAAUGGGCGCAAGCCUGACCCAGCAACGCCGCGUGAAGGAAGAAGGCUUUCGGGUUGUAAACUUCUUUUAAGAGGGACGAAACAAAUGACGGUACCUCUUGAAUAAGCCACGGCUAACUACGUGCCAGCAGCCGCGGUAAUACGUAGGUGGCAAGCGUUAUCCGGAUUUAUUGGGUGUAAAGGGCGUGUAGGCGGGAAAGCAAGUCAGAUGUGAAAACUAUGGGCUCAACCCAUAGCCUGCAUUUGAAACUGUUUUUCUUGAGUGCUGGAGAGGCAAUCGGAAUUCCGUGUGUAGCGGUGAAAUGCGUAGAUAUACGGAGGAACACCAGUGGCGAAGGCGGCCUGCUGGACGACAACUGACGGUGAGGCGCGAAAGCGUGGGGAGCAAACAGGAUUAGAUACCCCGGUAAG
rnacentral:rRNA from 1 species